AAAUUUCUCAUUAUGUCUGCCUGCUUCUGCCACUUCUUCUGUUUUCCCCAUUACCCUCCUGUUCAGAAAGUUCUGCAAGCUCAUUAUCAGUAGUUGAAGAUCUUAGAGAAGAUGAAGAUGCAACAGAAGGGUCAAUCACUGGAGCUAAAAAUGCCAAAACUGAGGAGAAAGAAAAUGAGCCCACAGAUAUGGCAGAAGAUAAGAAGGAUGAUGUGUCUAGUGCACUAAAAGCUUCACCAAGGGCACACCCAGUUAUGUUAUUUUAGAAGAAGAUUUUCCAAUAAAUAACUUUGUGAAGUUCAAGAUAGUCUCUACAAACAAGAGUUCUGAAGACUGUAUUGUCAAAUUCCCAGAUACUACAUUCCAAUAUUCUCAAAAUUGUUCGUUAUAUAUCCAAAAUUUCACAGCUUUUCUGAAUACUGUUUCUUCAUUUCACUUAAGCUCAUGAAAAGACAUACUUCUGAACUACAAAGAUUUCAACAGAAAAAAAUUCUAAGAUGCUGUCUUCAAACAGUUAAAAUUAUUGAGGGGAAAAUGUUUGGAUGGCAAAAAUAUAAUAAUAAUAAUAGAUAUUCCUUGCUUGUCUUAGGCUGGUCUUGGGCUUCCAGUUGUUGCUGAGUUUUAUCAAUUCCUAGAACUUAGGAGGCAAAAUAUACCAAAAUGAGGCCAGUACAGAAAGUAAACCUCAGUAUAUCAAAUCAGAAUGAAUUGUUAUGUGUUGGAAUUUUUUCAGUGAAAUUUGAAUCGCAUAAAGAAAGCUUCACUGAGAAGGCUGCCCAUGGAGUAAACACUGAAAAUAUUGUUGGGAUCUAAU
rnacentral:lncRNA from 10 species